GAUGAACGCUGGCGGCGUGCCUAAUACAUGCAAGUCGAGCGAACGGACGAGAAGCUUGCUUCUCUGAUGUUAGCGGCGGACGGGUGAGUAACACGUGGAUAACCUACCUAUAAGACUGGGAUAACUUCGGGACACCGGCGCUUAUCCCGGAUAAUAUUUUGCACCGCAUGGUUCAAAAGUGAAAGACGGUCUUGCUGUCACUUCUAGAUGGAUCCGCGCUGCAUUAGCUAGUUGGUAAGGUCACGGCUUAUCAGGGCAACUAUGCAUAGGCGACGUGCGAGGGGGAUCGGCCACACGAGAGCGUGGACAGGGUCAUUGCUCCUACGGGAGGCAGCAGAAUGGAAUCGUACGCAGUGGGGGAAAGCAUGACGGAGCGACGCCGCGUGAGAGAUGAAGGUCUUCGGAUCGGAAAACUCUGUUAUGAGUGAAGAACAGAUGUGGAAGGAGCUGAGCACAUCGUGACGGUACCUAAUCAGAAAGCCACGGCUAACUACGUG
rnacentral:rRNA from 1 species